rnacentral:lncRNA from 1 species
UUUUUUUUUUUCCCCCCGCUUUGGUGAACUCGCAGUACUUGGGCUGAGCCCGAAAUCUCGCGAGAUGCUGCAGGCGUCAGUGCGGCUUCCCACUAGGCGCGUGGUACCCGAGGCCGGGCCGGAGCCGCAGGCCAGCCGCGAUUCCUUCGGGCGAUGCUGGGGGCUUUCCGGUCGGGGCCGCAGCCGCUUCCGGAGCCGCGGGCGAGGUGCGUUCCCCAGCCUGGUUUGCUCUGGGCUCUGACCCGCCGCCGCGAAUCUCCGCUCGUAACUCCGGGCCUGAACCUGGAGGAGGGAGGAUUUCCUCUGUGCAGCUUUCGAGCGGUAGACUCACCCUGCCAGGCAGACCUAGAUUGGCAUAACCAGAGAUCAGUUCCAGUUGUGAUGCAGUGGGUGUCUACACACUUCUGAUGACACCUUUAUUUUAAAAGCUGAUGUUCCAAGUAGAGUCGGGGUUUCACCGUGUUAGCCAGGAUGGUCUCGAUCUCCUGACCUCGUGAUCCGCCCACCUCCGCCUCUCCAAGUGCUGGGAUUACAGGCAUGAGCCACCGCGCCCGGCCCUUGUAUUUUUAAACUUUGACUUUAUGGAGACGAACACCAUCGUUUGCUGAACACUUGAAACAUGAUGAAAGAGCCACAGAGUUGGCAGAACUGUUUGAAAAUGCUAUUUUUAGGGCAGUUUUUAGUGUCAUUAUGUUGCUGCUACAUAUUUGGAAGAUGGAACAAGCCCAGACAAAGGAGGAUUCUUUUUUACUCAUCUUAAAUCCAUUUUAUUUUCCUUCAUCUGAGCCCCUUAAAACUAAUGUGUUACUGAUCAUUACAACCUGUGGUUCCAAUUAAAGAUUUUAAAGAGAAGAGUUUAAUCCUGCAACAAUUGGUUAGCCCUUCUUAAUUUAGAGGUACCUUUACAAGUUCUUGAUCACCAAGGUGCAAGCGGUCUUCUCUGUCUUCUUUAUGGCCAGUAAAAUUCUCCAGAAGAGAUUUAUGGCAGCCUCACUCCCAGUAGUUUCUGCAUUUAGUGAGAUAAGCCACAGCAAUUGUCUGCUAUUUUAAAAGCACUGUGAUGCUUAAAUAUUCCAGCUGCUACAUCGGACAGGUGUCUGAUGAUCCUGAGAACAGUCAUCAAAAAGUAGAACUUGAGCCUGGAAUACAUUCUCUGGCAUAGCCAUAGUCAAUCACCAGUAUAAUUAAUGUAAAUGGACACUGGAUAGCUUUUUUGUGAAUUCUGAUGCAGCACAAAGAGACUUUAAUUGUUUCCAAAAAGAAAAUGUCUGAGAUUAAAAUCUAGAGUUUUAUGACUUAGAGGAAAUUUUAUAGCUUUACUCCAAAAAGGGUAAGGCACAAAAUAUUCUGUGCCAAAGGAUGCAUAUUUGGUAUUUUUCCUAUGAAUCCCUUAGUGUAAGUGGCAUGAUGAAAUUUUCUUGGUUUCAACACAGAUGAUGUGUUGAGGUAGUGUUGAGGCUGAGAGGUGGGUGGGAUGGGUCUUGGAGAAGGAAAAGAUUUGUUUUGCAAGGUUUGUGGAGAGCUGAUGCGGUAGUGAGGCUAAGACGAGGGGUAUUUACUUGCUACUUACAUUGAGUCCACUAACAUCUGCAGCACUUUGCUUGCAUUAUCCACGCAAUUAUCACGGGAAACCUAUAAAAUAAGUAUUCCUCUCCUCAUUUUACAAAUAGGGAAGCAGAUAAGAUUUAGAAAAUUUCCCAAACUCACACAAUUAUUAAAUGACAGAACUAGGACUCAAACCCAGGUUUUAUUAAUUUUAGAGACAUGUUUUUAACCACUUGGACACUGCCAACCAUGGAAUUGUUGGUAUGAAAAAAACGUACUCUUGAGUUAUAUUAUCCAUGGUCUUAAUAUCAGAGAAGUGCAGUUGAGUCGCUAUUAAAGAAUAUGGUAAAAUUAUAAAAUGGAUACUAUACAAAGGUAUAAAAAUAUUAUAAAUACUUAUGUUUGGGGUAAAAGGAUCAAAGUAGCCAUGCUCAGUGGAAGGGUAAGGAACUCUUAGCAGAGAUUGAUUAAUUGGGAGAUAAUUGAUUAAUUGGGAGUUGAUUGAUUAAUUGGGAUUUAUUAAUUUGGGAGUAGGUAGGAAGAUAGGAAGUUGUAUAAAAUAAGGGAGAGAUAACUUAGUACCUGGAAAAAAAGAAAUGGAAAUAGGUAGAAGCUAAGAGUUCAAUUAAAAAAAAGGAAUAAAAGAUAUUGGAAGGGAACGAUGAAUGUAGCAUGGAAGAUCCAAGAUGAUGGGAGUUCAGGGGCUAAUUACAGCUAUGGGGAAAAAGUAAUGUAUAAGCUGGAAGCCAGAGAUAAGAGCCAUGUAAAUGAAGAAGUUGGGCCCCAAUAGGAAAGAAUUAUAAGGACUAGAAGGAGCAGGAGCCAUGUGGAAAAAUAUCAUGUAGUACUUUUAAGCUUGAUCUGUCAUCUGUAGCAAAACCAGCAUGCUUGAGUACUGAAUUGACCUGACUGAACUAUGUUGAAAUGUACUGUGGUUUUAUAUCCAUAUGCACUUGGUCUGUGGAGUUGUGGGAAAAGCAUCAGUGAGUAGGAAGCCCAAGGAUUUGGGUCAAGUAUUAAAUAUGCUAUUUACUGUCUAGCUAUGUGACCUUAUAUAAGUCACUUGUGGUCUCUGAGCCUUCAUGUAUUCAUCCAUAAGAUGAGUUGUUGUUUAUAUUAAAUGGGAUGUGGUAUGUUAAAGAGCUGAAUGCAUAGUGAUACAGAAUUACUUUCUGUAAUACUAUUUUUUAAAUAUUUUAAAUGAAAAAUUAAUGAACUUAUAAAUUAAAAGAUUCAAAAGGGAUAAAAAGGUAUACAAUGAAAAGCAAUUCUCCUUCCCACCAGUAACUCUGUCCUACUCCUUAGGACAUUCACCAUAAACAGAUAUCCUGAAUUCUUCUAGAAAUAUUAUAUAUAAAAUCUUAUAUUUCUUAUGUUUCUUUUUUACUAUUUUAAAGGGGAUAAACUAAACUUUGCUUUUUUUCAUAUAAUAAUAUAUUCUGGAGAUCAUUUUCUAAAAGCACAUGUAAACAUACCUCAUUAUUAUAAAGGUUUGAAAAUAUCAAUUUAUUUGACCUGUCCCCUCUCGAUAGAUAAUUAGAUUGUAUCCAUCCCUUUGGUUAUUACCAACAGACACUAAUCACUUAUCAUGUACAUAUAGCCUGUUUUUUAGCAUUGUUAGACAAAGUAGGCAUAUUCCUUUCCAUCCAAGAACUCAUAACCUAGUAAUUGUAGUUGGCUGAUAGCUCAUUGCCCAUACACAAGGAUCUAACACAACCUCUUGAAUAAACAUCCCCCUUAUUCAGAAAUGCCUUUUCCUAUUUCCAUAUUGCAACUUUGCUUACAAAUUUCCAAUCUGUCUUUCUGUUUACAGAAGAUAUACAAAAUUCCUUUUGUAUGAUCUCUUUAUAUCUCUUGAUUUUCUUUUGUGUUUGCUACCAAAGGGCCUGCACAUAGUGAGAAGAUUGUGCAUGAUCUGUGAGCUCUACCACACCUGGAAUUAGGGAUCACCAAUAUGAGAAAAAAAAUUGGAGGUACAAAUAACAUUAUCAUAUGUAAUUGGCAUAUAAAUUACAGAUGUAUCUAUGACUAAAAACCCUGUGGAUAUAAACCAAAUGCAGAUAAAUAUAAUAAAAUAUAUAAAAAUAUAAUCAAAUAAUGAUAGUGCUAUUCAAAUACUUCAAAUUUGCACAGUGAUUUAUUUCUUAAAAUAUGUUAACACAUGUGAGCCAAUACACUGAGGUCACUGGAUAAAUAAACAGAUUCUUGCAAGUGCUUUGGAAAUGAAA